AUUGAACGCUGGCGGCAGGCCUAACACAUGCAAGUCGAGCGGAUGAGGAAAGCUUGCUUUUCGAUUCAGCGGCGGACGGGUGAGUAAUGCCUAGGAAUCUGCCUGUUAGUGGGGGAUAACUCGGGGAAACCCGGGCUAAUACCGCAUACGUCCUACGGGAGAAAGUGGGGGAUCUUCGGACCUCACGCUAACAGAUGAGCCUAGGUCGGAUUAGCUAGGAGGUGAAGUAAUGGCUCACCAAGGCGACGAUCCGGAACUGGUCUGAGAGGAUGAUCAGUCACACUGGAACUGAGACACGGUCCAGACUCCUACGGGAGGCAGCAGUGGGGAAUAUUGGACAAUGGGCGAAAGCCUGAUCCAGCCAUGCCGCGUGUGUGAAGAAGGUCUUCGGAUUGUAAAGCACUUUAAGUUGGGAGGAAGGGUAUUCACCUAAUACGUGGGUGCUUUGACGUUACCAACAGAAUAAGCACCGGCUAACUCUGUGCCAGCCGCCGCGGUAACAC
rnacentral:rRNA from 1 species